rnacentral:lncRNA from 1 species
GUGCUGUCUCCUUGUCUCCCAGGGAUAAACCCACAUGACAGUUUACAAAAACAGGUAAUCAUAAGAAGCAAAUGGCCCAGAUGAAACACAGCAAAAGAAUGAGAAGUGGUAACACUGGGAGUGAAAUUUGAACCAAGCGUAAAUGGAGUGAUCGUAGAAAUAGCUGACUGUGGAAUGUGGACACUCUCUGUAUCUGCAGCCUGGGAAGCUUAAAGAAGGUGAACUUACUGACACCAGUUAGAAAGUGACUGUGAUGAAACGAUGAAGAUGCUCCAGAGGAAGUGACACCAGCAAUAGGAAAAAAAAAACAAACCUCUCACUGAAGGAACUCUCGGAGAUAUUUCAUGACACAGAAGGCACAAAGGAUACAAUAUUGGCAACUAAUCGAAACUUAGAAAUGAUAUGACAGCUCACCAAGGCAUAGAAAAAGAUGCUUGCUCUAUCAUAAGUUAUAGAAUGAGAAGAAGAGACGGAGUCUCACUGUGUCGCCCAGGCUGGAGUACAGUGGCAUGAUCUCGGCUCACUGCAACCUCCACCUCCCGGGUUCAAGUGAUUCUCCUGCCUCAGCCUCCCACGUAGCUGGGAUUACAGGUACAUGCUGCCACGUCCGGCUAAUGUUUUGUAUUUUUAGUAGAGACAGAAUGGUCUCGAUCUCCUGACCUUGUGAUUCACCUGCCUCGGCCUCCCAAAGUGCUGGGAUUACCAGCAUGAGCCACCACACCCAGCCUGCAAUUUAUUUUUUAAUAGAUAUCCAUCCUAGCGUUUUCCAGGACCUGAAAGCUUUCAUGAAAAAAUAAAUGUAUUAAAUAUCUUCUAUGUUUGAGGAGCUGUAAUAGAUUUGGGGAAUAUAGAAAUGUUGCAAAUGCUUAAUUUUCAGUCUAGUAUCCUGUAAAAUGUUGUGUUUCUGGUAAUGCUUGGGAGAUUUUAUCAUUUUGGAAAUGCUUUUGCUUAAUUAGAUUCGCUAGUGUUCUAGGAGCCAAGGAUUCACAGACUGCACUUUUAAAGGGAUGAUAUUUUCACAUUUCCUUAGUACAGUUCUUUUAGUAACAAUAUUUAUAUAAAAAUUAUUAUGACGUGUGAGUCAUAAUAUUUGUUUUAAUUCUCAAAUUACCUGGUAACCACUGUUAAUAGUUUGGUAUAUAAACACUAAGAGAGCCAGUAAGUAAUUUGUUGUAUUUACAUUUGUACUUUUCUCUGUGCUAUUACACACACUUACACACACACACACAUACACAUCUCACAUGUACAUAAAUAGGUUAAAAUUUAUAUCCUUUCUUCCAAGGAAAAUGAGAUUAUCCUAUAGACAGGUGUCUGAAACUUGCUUAUUCACCUGUGAGUACAUCACAAGUAUCUCUUCAAAUUAAUACAUGAAUAUCUAACUCACUAUUUUUAAUAGCUGCAAAAUAUUUCUCAGUAUGGGAAGAGCAUAAUUUAUUCAAUGAUCUCGCUACUGAUGGACAUUCACAUUUAAAUUUUGUCUGUUUUUUUUUAACCCCUAUAAACGAAACUACAAUAAACAUUCAUGUGUGCACACACAUACAUGGUAUAUUUUUGUGGAUAGCCUCUGUAGCUGACUCUUCAACAUCCACUCCCAGAUAAACAGUCAAAGCCAAGGAUAAUUCUAUCCCUUUGUUAACGAUUGGUGAUAAAUGGACAAAUGUCCAUGAUAAAUGGACCCAGUUCUGGACAGUGAAUGUGAGGGGAAGUUGAUCAUGGAAGUUGUGAGAUAUGAUUCAUAAAACUGCUUCAAGGCCGGGCGCGGUGGCUCACGCCUGUAAUCUCAGCGCUUUGGGAGGCCAAGGUGGGCAGAUCACGAGGUCAGGAGAUCAAGAACAUCCUGGCUAACACGGUGAAGCCAGUCUCUACUAAAAUUACAAAAAAUUAGCUGGGUGUGAUGGCCCAUGCCUGUAAUCUCAGCUACUUGGGAGGCUGAGGCAGGAGAAUAGCUUGAACCUGGAGGCAGAGGUUGCAGUGAACCAAGAUCGCGCCACUGCACUCCACUCCAACCUGGGCAACAGAGCAAGACUCUGUCUCAAAACAAAACAAAACAAAAAAAAACACCUGCUUCAAACACCAUGUUCCAACUCAAAGAUAAAAAUGACAAGGAGGGUAAAGAAAAGAGAAAGAGCCGGGAUACUCAAUGACAUUUUGGCACACUGAAUUAACCAACCUUAGCGUCUACUCUGUUUUCUGGGCUUCCUUUCAGGUGAGAGAUACAUUUCUUACUAUUUAAGCCAAUUUAGUUUUUCUGUUUGUUAUAGCAAAGAACACAUCCUAUCAGACAUACCUCAUGUAUAGUUUUAUUUCUGUGACAAAAAUUUCCAAAAGAGGGUUUGCUGUAUUUUUACUGUAUUUGAGUCUGACAGAUUACAAUCCAAAAAUACUGUAACAAUGCAUACUUCUAUCAGCAAUGGUAUAUAGGAAUGCCUAUUUUCCCCAUACUUUCACAAGGAAAGGAAAGUAUCAACUAUAUGAAUUGUAAUUCAGUUUCAAGUAAUAGGUAACUAACCCAAAGGGGCUUAAAUUUAAAAGGGAGGUUAUUUGGCUCAUAUAACUGAACAGUCCAAGAGUAGAUGUGUAUUCAGAUAGGGCUUGGUUCACAAUAUAUGUGAAUCAAUCCAUGGAACAGAAGAAUUAAUGCAGGACAAGGAAAAAGAAAUAUAUAAAUAUAUAAAAAUAUAUAUAAUAUAAAAUAUAUAAAUAUAUAAAUAUAUAUGUGCACAUGUGACACCACUAUUUUAAAUUUUUCCCAAUAUAUGAAAAAUAUGGCAUUUUACUAGCAUUUUUCUAAGCAAAGUUAGUCGAAGUGAGAUUUGAAUACAAAUCAAAUGACUCAGAAAUUCUUUUACCUAUACCCUGUAUUAUAUCCUUCACAUCAGCUCCAUUUGAAAUCCUGAACUAUAGAAAGCCAUGAAAGAAAUAAAAUACUGUCUAGCAGUUCUAUGAAGAUUACAAAAGAUUUAGAAAUUCUGCCUGGGAAAACUUAGUGAUAUGCUAAAUUUUUACAGCCUAUAAAAUAAUGUAUCUUCUCAAGAACAAUUAAGGGUUUAAUUGUUGCCUUUUGUUGAGGAAGAAUCAUGGAAAGAUAUUGAGUAGCAGGCAGAGGAAAGGAAUCAAAUUAGAGCCAGAAGGAAUCAGUUUAGUCACAAAAAUUCUGUUUCUCAACAGAAAAGGUCCCACACAGGGCUGGGUGUAGUAGGUCUGUGUUGCUUGUCUGCCCUGCACCCUCCUCCGGUUCACAUGGUCCUGAUGGAAUUGUGAAAGAUUGCCUCAUCAUCCUCAACUCGAGAGCCAUCAUGUGACCCAGGCCAACCAAUCAAUAUGCCCCAUCCCUCUGGUCAUAGUGAAUGGUUCUAAGAUGGGCAUGUGACAUAAGUGGAGCCCAUUAGAAUCCUCCUUAGGACUUUUCUGCCAGAGUAAUUAGAAGAGAAUAUCUCUUUUCCAUUGGGGUUGAUAGCCUGUCAUCUUCAUGAAGCCAGCUGUAGCCCUGAAUUUCCAAUUCGUGUGGUCAACAAAUUUCUUAUUUUGCCAGGGUUGCUUUGUUCAGUUUUCUGUUCUCCAACAAAAUGUUUUUAAGCAAUAUUGUGGGUCACUCACAAGUCUGUUGUUGCUCCUUCUUCUGAGGCUAUUAAUAUGAGAGAACUUAUGUGCAGAAGGAGGAUGGUCAAAUGACACCUCUAGAGGUUGGUUGCAUCUCAUCAGGGAUCUGUCUGAUGGUGGAUGUAAUGGAAAUAAAAGAGAAUGCAGGGCUGGUGUGAUUCUCACUUCAAAUUCCCAGAAACUCAUUCAUUGACCCCACAUUCUUUAAAUACGAUUUCAGAACUCAUAGGUGAGACAUAUUUAAGUGAUUUACAAUACAUAAUGAAUAAAGCUAUAAUCUUUUUUUCCUUUGAGAAAAAAAAGAAAAGAAAAGUUGAUUCCUAUUUACAAUUAUUCACACAAACCAGAUUCUGGACCAAGUGUCAACUGCUGUGUGAUUAGCCAAAAGAGUACUUCUUAAACAGUCCUUUCUAAAACUCAGCUAGUCAAGCCAAUUUAUCCAUCAGGAUGUGAGUUGGAAGCCAGGCUAUGAUGGUUAGAACCAUAGCCAAAUUAAAGCCUUUCUGAGAGCCUUUGUAACUUGGGGUUUGAAGGGAACAGAAGGAGCUGAACUGAGCUCUAACCCGAAGGUGUUUAGAUUCUAUGGAGAAGGAGAAUAACGUCAGACUAUGAUAAGAAUGGCCACCAUUUGUGGAGCUGCUUCUACAGGCUAGGUACACUGCACGUUUUAUCCCAUUUAAUCCUCACAACGAUUUUGUAAAGGAGGCAUAGUUAACCCAUGAGUAUUCACAUGGGGAAACUGAGGCUCACAGAAAUCAAGGUUUGUCCAGAGUUACAUAACUGGUACAUGAAGGAUCUAGGCGUCAUGUUCAGUUCUAGCUUGUCCAAGGUCUGUGCUUUGGGUCUCUUCCCUAAACUCCAUGUUUUUCUCACAGCGUUAUGUGGCCAUCUACAGCUGAGUUUAUUAAGUUUUGACUUAAGGCAUUCCUUCCGGAACUAGAUUUCUAGCCAAGACCUCUGAAGGAAUCAGAUUGCAUCCACAGUUACUACAGUAUUUCUUGGUCUUCUCUUCCAGAAGGGUGUUCUUCUAGAGGAACUGUUUACUGACUUGAAAUGCUGUUAUAAAAUCUCAGUUCAAAGGUUGUGUAUCUCCCAGGAAACAAAUGGCUUUUUUAUUCUUCGCCACUAGCUUAACACUGCAUUAUAGCUGCUCAUAACAAGUCAUGGUAUGCUAAUUUAUGAGUCACAUGACACAGUCAAUUCAUAUUAUAGACAUUGCCCUGAUUAUAUGUCUCCUUAACUGAAAUGUUUACAUAGUUGUGAUGGAAUCAAUUUUAUUAAUUUUACAGCAUUCACAGGUUUCUCCUCUUCCCAAGACUGCCAGAGAGAUCCUGUAAUUACCUGCCCGGUUUUUCUUCUUAGGAGACAUGAGAAAAGAAUAGAAUUCCUCCAAUUAUUUUCUGCUUGUUUGUGCCUCUGUAAAUUUGACUCUUCUCAGAGAUGAAACCACCUGGGACACAGCUUCUUUAGAGUUGCACAGUGACACCUGCAAAUAGUUAGCAGUGCACCAGGUACAGAAGCACACACACCUGGUGGCAGGGCAAGAUGGGGUGAUUCCUGGAGCCAGAUCAUCCCUGAUGUGUUCCUUGCAGUGUUAUCAGGGGGAUUACAGGAAAUAACAUACACAAAAAACUGUUUCUUAACUGCAAAGCACUGUGCAAACGUGAGCUGUUAAGCCAGGUGGUGUGUGCAAUGGAGAUCACCUUUUGCCGGGGGGUAAUCAUUUCAGUUUACAUAACACUUAUCACUCCAGGAGCCCCAAGCCCUUGUGAAUAUUAUCCUGAGAAAUAUCACUUGAAAUGAAAUGCGCAUGCAUAAACAGAGUCUAGCAAAUGGAGGCACCAAUUAUGAUGACAAUGACGAAGGUCUUAAAUGAGAACAUAAACAUUUUGACAUGUCAGCUCCCAAGGAUGUUGCCACUGUAGUCACAACACCUUCUGAGGGAAAAUCAAUUCUCAACGUUAAUGUUUCCCAUGAGUGUUGACUCCUCGGGGGAUGGGGGAGGAAGAGGGAAACAAAAGUGGAAAAACAUUUUAAAAUAUGAAUUUUAUUUUCCAUAGCAGUAUAUCAGAAAACUCAAAUAUAACUCCACAACUUUUUCAAGAGUUUCUUUUUGUUUUCCAAUGGUAACGGGAGAGAAAAUAAGCUGUCAUUAUCGGAAUGAUCAAACACAGAGAGAAAAGAGGCAGAGAUUUGGCUUCUGGCUUGCUCUCUUUGUUUGGGUAGCUAGGCAUGAAAAAGAAUCAUCUGCAACCAGAGCUCAACUUAAUUCCCAGUUCCUCUCUGGAAACUAUCUGUUGGCAUCAUGAAAUGUUCUGUGUAAAAGGCCAUGCUUUGACUGAUCAAAAGUGGGAUUUCAGACCCUCCAUCAGAGUCUUUGUGGAUGAAACUCAGCCAAUUCUCGGAAAGUGACAGAAGAGGCCUGCACCUCUGGCAUAAUUUGCGUCUCCCCAGCAUCUCACUGUUCCUGCCAAUGACAAACAGGAACCCCCGACAAUUUUUCCUCUCUCUCCUGGCAAUGCAAUGAUGGCCCAGCUGUUUUCUCACUAUAAAAAGGCAGUCACUUCUCUCUAUCACUACAGUCUAUAGCAAAAGGUCUACUUACAUUACUGAUUGAACAACCAUGUAUCAUAUGAAAAACCACAAAAGAAAUUCACAGGAGAGGCUCUAAGAUUGCUGAUCAUUUUAUCCACAUCCCAGUGUCUACAUCUGAGCAUGGUGCUCGGUAGAUAUUGCAUGAAUGAAGGACAAGAAAUUUGGAAAAAUACUGCAUUGUCUACUGUUUUCAGAAAUAUUUAUGCAGGGUAAUUUUAAUGUCUGCCAUUUUCCCUUGGGUCAGGGAAGCCACUGUAUGAUAUUAUAAUUGCUUUGAUUUGUAUCGUGUUACCUACUAGGUUCAAGACACAUUCAGGAGUGUUCUGAAAAACAUAAUAGAAAUUGACAGAAAAAAGUGACUGAAUAGACUUUCAGAAAAUAUGAAAGAUUGAAUACAGAAGUUUGUUUUCCCUUUUCCAAGCCCCUCUAAAAUGACAGGAAAAAUAAAAAUAAAACAUGGAUCCCCCAAAACAAAGGAAACAGAAAGGGAAAUGACCACAGAUGAUAGACAGCCACAAAAUUUUGGACAUGGCAACCCAAGAGGAGAGAGGGAUGAGGCUACAGGAGGAGGAGUCAACCAGAAGAAGCAAACCAAUUUAUAGCUCAGAAUCCCCAGAAAGUGUCAGGAAUUGAGGAUGCCAGCUGCCUCUGAAGGCAAAUUGAAAACAAGACAAUCAAUUAAAAAUCUUUGUAAGGAGUAGGCAAAUUCUGAGGUCUCCUAAUCAACCCUUUGUGGCCAGGUAGCCAACUCUCCCUACUCCAGCAGAGCACCAAAGAUGUCCUCCCUGGAGAUGUGGAUGAAUAGGUAUUCCAGACUUGGGAACACCAGACACAGCUGAGGUACCACAAUUAAAUGGAGAAACUAAGCAAAAAAUCACAUUAUAAACAAAAAAUCUGACCCAACUCCACGCCCUUCUUUAUGUCAAUUCUCAGAAAUACUGCAUUGUCAUUAAAGCUUAGAACUGUAGACAGGAGAGAGAAAACUAGUCAUAAAUAACUAGAAAUAAGAAUAGCAUCAUCUUCUCAAUAGCAACAACGGCAGCUUGAUCUCAAUUUACUCUGAUUCAAUCCCACCCUCACACACCUCAAAAUACUUGGUUCUGUGGCUUUGACUUCAUGCAUAGACUCCUAUAAAAUACUAGUGCUUGCCUCUUAAAGCAUAGCAUAUCCAUCCAGCCCCUGUGACCAAAGAAAUGGUCUUGGCUCUCAUCCUAAAGAGAUAUUAAGAAGCAGCCUUAACAAAGGAAAAGACCAGCAUGGAUUGUGCCCCUAGACCUUCUAUUCUUUGGAUAGUACUUUACCCUUAAUUCCCUGUUCUCCUCUUUUGAUUAUAACCUAAUUGGCAACUGUAGCAGCCAAUCUCAGAUAUGUUCUUGAUUUCUGCAAUGUAGCCAAAGGCGGAUUUCAUCACAUUCUCCUUUUUUUACUUUUUGCUGGUGAUGGAAGGAGCAAUUGGUUCAUGAGCUUGGUUUGAUGAUUAAAUAAAUGGCUUGGUGACAUUUGGAGUGUCAGCUUUCCAGAUCUGCAAUCACCACAAAACUGCAGACACAGAUAACGAACCUGGGGUGGAGUUGCUGGGUUCAGAGACCAUAGAUUGGAUAUUACCUCACCAUUAGAACAUCAGUCUUGAUUUCCCUUUCUUGGCUGCAUUUAGAGGCUAGAUGCCCGCUCCUCCACAACUAUGUAAUGGAGACAAGAAGGUGGUACAAAGAAAGUCCACCACAGUUUAUGGAGCCUGCAGAAGCCAGUGUGCUUGACACACACUGUCAUCCUGUUGUUGCAAGUAUUCUUUUUAUAGUGGAGGAGGAGGACGAAGAGGAGGAGAUCACAUUUUAAAAAGAAUGAUCUCAUCUUUUUAGGUGAGAAGAUGGAGAAGAUGAAUACAUUUGCUUUCAGCAAACCAAUGGAAGUCCAUUUGCAUGAUCUGAAAAGGAAAAUGAGAAGCUAAUUUUUCUAUACAAGGCAGAAUUUAAGAAAUACAAUUCCUAAGGACUCCAGUGGAUACAGCUCUGGUUCCUGGACUUCGUGUUUUGGCUUGGUCUUUCUGCUUUUUCAAUUUUGUCACUGAUUCCAGAGAGGCUUUCAAAGGAAGUCGUGGAAUCUUCUGUGGCAAUAACAACCAUUCACAUUCACUCCCGGAGAUGUAGACUUUCUUGUGGCCUUACAGAUUGAUCACAGCCAUCAAAGGAGGAAUGAACACGUUUCCUGAGGCACUCUAUUUACAUACUCAGGGUUUUUCAUCAAUCAUGUAAAAGAGAGUUACAUUUUCAGGUCAAAGUGACUCAUCAAGCCAGAGGGGUGAGUCAUGGAAGACAUAUGACGCUUUCCAGUUUAACCUGCUGUGCGACUAUGAACACCUGUAACAGUCAUCUUGCCAUAAAUCUCUCCCUGACCUUUCUGUGACAAGAGAAACUGCUACCAAAUCCUGAAUCCUACCUGUAUAGUAAGAAAUGAUUUCAGUGUUUAUUGCAGAAAUCUUCUAUUUGGAGAAUUUAAAUUUAAAUCAAAUUCAGAGGCAAAUUCAUAUCUUACUUUAGAAGUAAAGCAAAUCAUUGGAAAAAGCACUGGGGGAGAGAGAUUGAGAUAGAGAAAGAGAGAGAUUCUCUUUCAAUCAGCAAUUCUGUGUCUAUUAGUUUUUCUUGAAAUAAGCAAGUCUUGAAAGAUGUAUGUACUGGGUGUUUAUUGCAGUAGAUUGAAUAUUACGAAAAUAUUGAAAAUUAUCCAAAAAUCUAAGGCUAUGAAACUUAAUUAUGGAAUAUUCAUACAAUGAAAUAUUAUGAAGUCUUGAAGAAUGAUAGGAAAUUGUGAUAUAUUGUUUUAAAAGUUGUAUCUUCAAUAAAUAGUGAAAAGAGGAAGAUAUCAGAAAAACCUACAGAUUAAAAGAGACUUAUGAAACUUUUUUUUUAAUGGGGGAGACAAGUUCUCACUCUGUUGCCCAGGCUGGAGUGCAUAGUGUGAUCAUGGCUUACUGCAGCCUCAACUUCCUGAUCUCAAGUGAUCCUCCUGCCUCAGCCUCCCAAGCAGCUGGGACUAUAGGUGCACACUACCAUGUCCAGCCAGGAAACAUAUUAACCAGUUGCAAUGUACUGCAUUGCCCUCAUAAGUCUAAGCAUGCACACAUACAGAAUAUUAAGGAAAUGUAAACACUGACCAAUUAUUGAAUUAUACUAUGGAAUUUUUAUAAUUAUUUUUAAGUGUGAUAAUGGUUUUUUUUUUAGUUCUAUAUUUUAGAGAAAAAAUACUAUGCUGAUUGGAGAAUGUAAAGAUAUAGAUGAAACAAGAUUGAGGAAGUUUGAAAGUUUACUAUACACUUCUCUCUACUUAUGUACAUGUUGAAAAUGAUCCAUUUGUUAAAAGGUUUUUUUAAGUUAUAAAACAGUGUGUAUACUGUGACCCUAUUUGUUAAUUAUUUUAAUAUCUUUUUUCUUAUUCUUCUAUAAAAGACAUGACAAUAUUUUGAGGUAAAAAUACUUUUUACUUAUUCAUGUAUUUAUUUUUUGAGAUAGGGUCUCACUCUGUCACCCAGGCCUGAAUGCAGUGGCAUGAUCUUGGCUCACUGCAGCUUCUGCCUCCCAGGUUCAAGCGAUUCUUCUGCCUCAGCCCCUGAGUAACUGGGAUUACAGGCAUGAGCCACCAUGCCUGGCUAAUUUUUGUAUUUUUAGUAGAGACAGAGUUUCACCAUGUUGCCCAGACUGGUCUUGAACUCCUGACCUCAAGUGAUCCGCCCGCUUCGGCCUCCCAAAGUUCUGGGAUUACAGACGUGAGCCACCACACCUGGCCCAAACAUACUUUUUAUAAUAAAUAAGUAAUUUGACAACUUGAACUGAUUUACUCUAGCCAUUAAUCUCUCAAAAUUUGCUGUUUUCCCAUUAUAUCUAAUAUACUACUGAGUUUACAGUUCAUAAACUAUUAAAAAUGACAGCGUGAGAUGGACUCACAUGUUGUCUCAAAUUAAGAUCUUCUAUUAUCAUAAGGCCCAUCCAUCAGUUGUGAGGUGACUUUUAUCCUGUGGCCAGGGAGCCUGAUAAUUCAUGCCUGGGGCAAGCAAGGAGAUCAGGACAACUCACGCGAAACCCCGGACUUUCCAGUUUUCAUACAAAGCUGGACUUUCAUAAACAAAACAAGGAAAGAAACUGAGCAUCUUAACAGGCGAAUUUAGGGGAAAAAACAAACAAACAAACAAACGUCUUUUUUAUAUAAAUGAUUUGAGUAAUUUAGAAAAAUUUUAAGGGCCAUUUUGCCUAAAUUAAUAAGAAAAUGUGAUUGCUCCAGGUACCAAUUUUGCUCUUUUAAGAUGGCCGGGUUUACCUCAGCUCUCAGAAAAAAAAACAAAUCAUCCCACCGUAACAUUUUCACACUCCUAAAAUAAGCUUUAAAUUUUAUUUAUUUAUUUAUUUAUUUAUUUAUUUUUGAGACAAGGUCUCUGUUUCACUCAAAUUGAGUGUAGUGGCAUGAUCGUGGCUCACUGCAGCCUCUAACUCCUGGGCUCAAAUGAUCCUCCCAACUCAGCCUCCCAACUAGCUAGGACUGCAGGCACGCAACACCACAUCUAGCUAUUUUUUUUAUUUUUUGUAGAGAUGGGGUCCCACUGUGUUGCCCAGGUUGGUCUCAAACUCCUAGAUGCAAGUGAUCCUCCUGCCUCAGCCUCCCAAAGGGCUGGAUUACAGGCCUGAGCCACCACACCCAGCCAAGUUUUGAGUGGGCCUUCCUGAAAGUGAAAGUGAAAGUGACUGUGUGCAUAUACAAUGGAAUUGGAAUAAAUUAAAUGUAAUGAACUUCUCACAUCAGCCUCUGUUGAUGGGUGGGCUGUGCUAUGUACUUGCUCUUGCUUAAAGACCCAACCACACAUCCUGUGUGCAGGAAAGACAGCAGUUUGGAAAUUGCAGGACUGUGAUUCUGCUCAUGCCCUCCAAGGCUCCAAACUGUUUGACUAGAAAAUUCUGCUUUGCUUCUGGUGUUGGUCUCCGCUUGCUAGGUCUCUCAACUGCAGGCCCUGAGCCCUAUCUCAGGUAACUAAGUUCUGCCCCACUCAACUUCUGAGUCCAAGUUCAUCAUCUGUCCAGAGUGAGUCUUUGCCACACCAGAGUAGGGUGGAGUGGGCCUUGCUACCCUGCCCUGUAGCCAGAUGGGUGCUAGGUCUGGAGGCUUCUCCCCUGACCCCUUGUCAUUCACAAUAGCACCUCGGGACUUCUGUUUUGGUUUUCUGAAUGUUCCCCUGGCCCAUACCCAGGGGGAAGCCCACAGUCUCAGCCCCCUAGAAGUGGCCCCUUUUCAUCCUGUAGUAACCACAGGCUGAGGUCUGAUUCCCUUCAUAAGGGACCACCUGAAACUACACUGCCCCCUCCUGGAUGCCAUUCCUCUUGCUAUGACAUCCAUGCAAGCAACUGGCCGCCCCCCUCCACAUGAGACACCCAAAAAUUUUCUUGGGAUGGGAUUGAACUCUAAUUUGCUAUACCUGUAAAACAUAAUUAGGACCGUAGGGUAUGCCUCAGUGGUAAUACAGAAGCAGGAGCCGACUGAUAAAUUUUCAGGAUUUUUGCAAGUUGGACUGUUAAACACCCCCAGUAUUAAAAUUUGAGUCAUAUAAACUUUUAAUUAAUCUAUACUAAAAAUAAAGGUCAUACUCAAAACUCAUCACUUCUUAUCUUACUACAUUUUACUACUGUCUAUGCUCUGAGUUAUUUACAUUGACUGUAGUGUUAUUUGUAUGACUGUAGUGUUAUUUGUAUGGUGGAAAUUACUCCACUUAUCAAAUCAUGGUUGAAUUGCAACCAUCGGUUGGCUAUGGAGACAAGAGUUCAGUAAAAAUCAAUGAAAGCAUUCUGUGAGAGUCAAUUGGCCAUAUGGGACUUAAAAUAAGGGUAUUGCAUAUUUUAUUAUUAUUUAUAAAUGGCAUGCUACUCAUCCUUUUUUGUAUCAAUAAAAUUUAUAAGUUGAUGUAUUUUAUUUUCCAAAGAGCCUAUUGUUAAGCAUUUCCCAGCACACCACUGUAUCCCAUCUACCGGACUGUGAGCCCAGUUCUAUGGUCUCAUCCACAACUUCGGUUCUGCUCACCUCCUGCACUGACUUUGAGACUGUUGGAGAACAGGAGGCUCAUACCCAACCCACUCUUAAUUUAUCUCAUCCAUGUGGCAGGACAUCCAUUAGCAUAACACACCUGGCUUCGGCUCCCCGCCACACUCCUCUAGGCAAACUGACUUACCCGGUUGGUGAAUUUGGAAGAAAAACUGUGUCAUAUAUAGCUUAGCUUUUUUCCUUUUCUUAGGAGCUACCCGCAGGAGGGGCAUCUUUCUCCAGAGGCAAAGCCUGCCUUGUUCUGGUGUUGCCUGAGGCUGAUGGGCAAGUUGGUCAAAUCCCAAAGUUUAGUUGAUAAGAACUGCACUUGCUUGAAGAUAGAAGCUAUGCUUUCCCAAGUAGCAUUGAUCAAUAAGGAGCUACCUGCAGGUAGCAGGUGUGAUCCAGAGAACAUGCCUUUCACUGUGAAAACCAGCACCUUCAAGGCCAGGCGCAGUGGCUUGCGCCUAUAAUCCCAGCAUAUUGGGAGGCCGAGGUGGGUGGAUCACCUGAGGUCAGGAGUUCAAGACCAACCUGACCAACAUGGUCUACUAAAAAUACAAAAAUUAGCCCGGCAUGGUGGCGGGCGCCUAUAAUCCCAGGUACUCGGGAGGCUGAGACAUGAGAAUAGCUUGAACCAGGGAGGCGGAGGUUGCAGUGAGACGAGAUCACACCAUUGCACUCCAGCCUGGGCAACAGAGCAAGACUCCAUCUCAAAAACAAACAAACAAACAAACAAAAACACCACACAAAACCAGCACCUUCCACAGUGUCUAGCAUACGUUAGUCACCAAAACAGGUUUGCUAAAUGAACAAAUGAAUGAAUGGCAUUUUAUGUGUCAGUAAAUAUGCUUCAAAAUCAUGAUGUAUGAUGAGUAAGCAACUCUAUCAAAUAAAUAUAACGUAAUUUGCUGUGAGCACAUAAUUUGCUGUGUUCUAGUAUUGAACAGUUGGACUAUUUCCAUAUUUUAAUUUUUACUAUUAUGUUUGAGGAUGAUAUAUAAAUCUU